GUUCGUUCGUCAAUGUUAUUUACAAGACGACAAAGGCUACUUCUCAAAGGCCCAAACCUAUCGCAAUUUAUAAGGACACCCACAUAAGAAAGAACGGGACUUUUGUGAACCCAGAGGUUGAGAAGCUAUAUAAUGAAAUGGAGUCAAUGGCAAAUGAUGACAACUUGAAUUCCACCGAAGAAGAAAUAUUUUCUCAAGUGCUAAGGGGGCAUCGCUCAGGACACGUUCGAGGAAUGGGAGGCGGUGUCAUACCUACACCGUCAAGUUCCUCGCGUGCGCGCCACCCCACCCAGUUUGCCGGCCACAAUGAGUGCAUGAUUAA